UGGCUCAGGACGAACGCUGGCGGCGUGCCUAACACAUGCAAGUCGAACGAAGCAUUUGGAGCUGAUCCCUUCGGGGUGACGCACCUUAUGACUUAGUGGCGGACGGGUGAGUAACACGUGAGCAACCUGCCUCUCAGAGUGGAAUAACAGUUGGAAACGGCUGCUAAUACCACAUAACGUUUUUGUGCCGCAUGACACUUCAACCAAAGAUUUAUCGCUGAGAGAUGGGCUCGCGUCCGAUUAGGUAGAUGGUGGGGUAACGGCCUACCAUGCCGACGAUCGGUAGCCGGACUGAGAGGUUGAUCGGCCACAUUGGGACUGAGACACGGCCCAGACUCCUACGGGAGGCAGCAGUGGGGGAUAUUGCACAAUGGGCGCAAGCCUGAUGCAGCAACGCCGCGUGCGGGAAGACGGCCUUCGGGUUGUAAACCGCUGUCCUUGGGGAAGAAACAAAUGACGGUACCCAAGAAGGAAGCCACGGCUAACUACGUGCCAGCCGCGGC
rnacentral:rRNA from 1 species